GAUAAACGCUGGCGGCGUGCCUAACACAUGCAAGUCGAACGAUCCCGCAAGGGAGAGUGGCGGAAGGGUGAGUAACACGUGGGAAUCUACCUCCUCGCAGGGAACAACCUCUCGAAAGAGAGGCUAAUACCCAAAAGGGUCAGAAAUGAUCAGAGUCGAAAGGCGUGAGGAGAGGAGCCCGCGGCCCAUCAGCUAGUUGGUGAGGUAAUGGCUUACCAAGGCUACGACGGGUAGGGGAUCUGAGAGGAUGUCCCCCACACUGGAACUAGAAACAACGGUCCCAGACGCCUACGGGUGGGCAGCAGUGAGG
rnacentral:rRNA from 1 species